CGGGGCGUAGCGCAGCCUGGUCAGCCUGGUAGCGACGGUUUUGGGUACCGUAGGCCGGAGGUUCGAAUCCUCUCGCCCCGACCA
rnacentral:tRNA from 1 species